rnacentral:lncRNA from 1 species
CCGGGUCUCCAGGGAGGACCUGAGUUUUCUUCACCCAUGGUCAGGGAGGCGCCAUCGCCCUGGCUUUGGGGCUGGGGCCUCCGGGGAGGUUCCGGUAGGGGCGUUGGAGAGGCCGCCCUUUUUGCAAGGCCCGAGACGGCGGGACCUGCACAAGCCGCCCUAUUCCAUGCCCUCAGGGCGUCAGUAUCCGCCUCAGGCCAGAUAACCCCUCUGGGCCCCGGGUGCCCCCGCUGGGCCCGGAGCAUCCUCGGCGCUGCCCUCCCAGAGCCCCGCAGAGGCUGAGGUGGCACGGGUUGGAGGGCCUGGCUCUGCGAGAAGCGGCGGCAGCGAGGGCUGGAGGACCCGGGCUACGUGGCUCUGGGGCGUCUGGCCUGGGUGGGACUGAGCCCAUCCAGGGACUGGGACUCCGGGGUUCUGGUGUAGGUGGAUCCGGGGCAGGCUCAGGACCAAGUCCCUCUCCUUCCACCAAGGAGCACCCAGAGGCCGGCGGGAGCUCCAGGUUCACCUCCUCUUCCUCCAGGAAAUCCCACUUCCAACUGGAUGUCUGGAUGAACUACUGAAAGCUGCUGAGUGUCCUGCAGCAGGUGAGCUGUGGCCAGAGCCCAAGGAUGAAGGGGGCUCCCUCACUCUGUGACUGUGAAGAGGAAGCCUGAGGUGUAGCAGGCCCUGGCCCCAGAAGUAUGGAAAAAAUGAGAUAGGGUCUCUCUCUCUGCCACUCAGGCCAGAGUGCAGUUGACGCAGAGCAGGGGAGCCCUGAAAUGGAGCAUAGUGUGUCCGGAACUGGUGGGUUCUUGGUCUCACUGACUUCAAGAAUGAAGCUGCGGACCCUCGGG